UGUUCAGCCCCACUGCUCUUUCCCCGUCUCUACACACCUAUGUAAUGACCACCCGAUGAAGACGCCGGCGACUGUCAAUACUCCAGCUAGCUCCUUCAAGCCCCCUCCCACUGAGUAUCCCCCCCCCCCACUCCUAGACAGACACAGGACACCACCCCUCCGGAUUCCAUCAACAGCCUCUCUCCGACAGCAUCUGGGUCCUCCCAACUGUGUGAGGCCGCAUCCCAGAGCCUCUUGAGCUUCUCGAAGCCGCACAUCGGGGCUUGGCUUCACCCAGGCGGUGCUGCCCCUGCAGAAGAAAGAGGCUGUCGGCACAGCCAGCUGCCGGGCGAGCAGAGUGGAGGGCCCAGCCCUGCGGCACAGGAGGCUCCCCAGGGGCCCCUGCAGGACUCUAACCCGGCCUCCUGCAGGCCCCCGGGGAGAAUGGCAUCGCGUAAUUACACCUCCCAGGUUUUCAUCCCAACAUCUUCAAAGCACCUAUGAUUAACGGGGGGGGGGGGGGGCUUUGAAGUUGUAUCCAGGUUUACCCAGUCACUGUAGCUCCCAGGCGGGCACAGCCAAGCCUCUUGCUUUCUCCUCGCCUCUCUCUCAUUAAAGCUUCUCUGAGAAAACCCUGGACCCUGCUUCCCGAGCUGCCUGCCCGCCCCCAGCCUGCAGCGGACCUCCCUUCCCCGAUGGCAGUCCUCCAGGGUAGUGGGCUGCAGCCUGGGAUUUUGUAGAGAAUCUGAACCAUGGUCCGAGGAACUCCAAGGAAACUGGUAGUAAAUCCUUCUCUCAGGCCUGCUUCCA